CCCUGGACUUGUUUCCCCUCAACACUUCAGUUAGUCCCAGGGGAAAGCCUUGACACUGGGGGAAUUCUAUGUGGCUCGAUGUGUUUGAUCCCUCUUUACACUUUCAUCUCUUAGACCGCUUCCACGAUUCUCCUCCAGAUCUCAGAAAUGCCCGGUGACCUGCGGUUCGUUUCCCACAGUUCCGAGAAAGAGAGAGGGCAUUCAUGUAAAGAACAGAGUCAUAAAGAAUUUGAUCUUAUUUAAAUGACCACACGAAGACGACUUGGUCCAAAAAGGGAACGGAAAGUGAUCAAUGUUAAAUUAGCUUUGAGGAAAAAGGCAUUUUUCCUGAGUGCUCAACCAGGUCCUUCCACAGCAACACUUCAAGCAUAACUUAUUUAUGUGAUAAAGGUCUCGACAAGAACGAAAAUGACACGAAAGCGCACCACUCUCCUGAGACCCUUAAAAGGCAUGGGGAAAAUGGUAUCUCACCCUCUCUAACUUUCACUGACCAUUCCACUCAAAGAUUGAAUUGGCAUUUUAAUCAUAAUCUCUACUAAUCCAAUGUGAACACUGAGACUCUUCACAAAGCCCCAGAAGAAAUUCUUUACCCAGAGAGAAGCACUCAAGUUGACUAACAUCCAGGAGGAAUGAAGAUGAUGUGCUUAAUAAUACAUUUGAGUAUGAUUCAUACACAAUGAAGAUUAUUAUAAGUUU